UACCAGCACCCCGAGUGGUCGGGACGAUUAUUGGGCCUAAAGCAUCCGUAGCCGGUUCUGCAAGUCCCCCGUUAAAUCCAGCUGCUCAACAGAUGGGCCGCGGAGGAUACUACAGAGCUAGGAGGCAGGAGAGGCAAGCGGUACUCAGUGGGUAGGGGUAAAAUCCGUUGAUCCAUUGAAGACCACCAGUGGCGAAGGCGGCUUGCCAGAAUGCGCUCGACGGUGAGGGAUGAAAGCUGGGGGAGCAAACCGG
rnacentral:rRNA from 4 species